rnacentral:rRNA from 1 species
UGAAACCGUUUAGGGGUAAACCUGAGAAACCCGAAAGGUCGAAGGGAGAAAUUCAUUCGCGUUUCGGUGUCGGCUGCGUCGGUUACGUUGACGGGAAACGUUUUUUAAACGUUACCCGCUCGUUCUCUGACGUCGUUCCGGCGACGAACGCGUGCACUUUUCUCCUGGUAGGACGUCGCGAUCCGUUGGGUGUCGGUCUACACGGCUUCGGGUGGAGUUCGUCGGUUAACUCCUUACCGAGUUAACCGACGAACCUCGGACGCCCGACCGACUCGCUCGACGGUAUAAGAAAGGUUAGAGGCCGCUCUUUGUGGAGCGUUCGGCUCGCGGCAAGCGCGUCAGUUCGUGUUUGUCGGUGAUCGGACCCGGUGCCGAUCCUGACCGCUGACGACUGUUGGCCGCGAAGUUCUCGAACAGACCUCGCGACCGAUCGGCGACGCUAUAGCUUUGGGUACUUUCAGGACCCGUCUUGAAACACGGACCAAGGAGUCUAGCAUGUACGCGAGUCAUUGGGAUUAUCGCUAAACCUAAAGGCGCAAUGAAAGUAAAGGUGUUCCUCGCGAACACCGAGGGAAGACGGGCGGACCGGCCUUAAAACCGGCCGUUCAGCAUUCCCGGGGCGUCUCGUUCUCAUCGCGAGAAGAGGCGCACCAAGAGCGUACACGCUGGGACCCGAAAGAUGGUGAACUAUGCCUGGUCAGGACGAA